rnacentral:rRNA from 1 species
GAGUUUGAUCCUGGCUCAGGAUGAACGCUGGCGGCGUGCCUAACACAUGCAAGUCGAGCGAGGGUUUGCUCAGUAUUGAGUAUUCUAAAACUAGAAUGUUCAAUUCUGAGCAAAACCAAGCGGCGGACGGGUGAGUAACGCGUGGGUAACCUGCCCUAUACACAUGGAUAACAUACUGAAAAGUUUACUAAUACAUGAUAAUAUAUAUUUGCGGCAUCGCAGAUAUAUCAAAGUGUUAGCGGUAUAGGAUGGACCCGCGUCUGAUUAGCUAGUUGGUGAGAUAACUGCCCACCAAGGCGACGAUCAGUAGCCGACCUGAGAGGGUGAUCGGCCACAUUGGAACUGAGACACGGUCCAAACUCCUACGGGAGGCAGCAGUGGGGAAUAUUGCACAAUGGGCGAAAGCCUGGUGCAGCAACGCCGCGUGAACGAUGAAGGUCUUCGGAUCGUAAAGUUCUGUUGCAGGGGAAGAUAAUGACGGUACCCUGUGAGGAAGCCCCGGCUAACUACGUGCCAGCAGCCGCGGUAAUACGUAGGGGGCUAGCGUUAUCCGGAUUUACUGGGCGUAAAGGGUGCGUAGGUGGUCCUUCAAGUCGGUGGUUAAAGGCUACGGCUCAACCGUAGUAAGCCGCCGAAACUGGAGGACUUGAGUGCAGGAGAGGAAAGUGGAAUUCCCAGUGUAGCGGUGAAAUGCGUAGAUAUUGGGAGGAACACCAGUAGCGAAAGCGGCUUUCUGGACUGCAACUGACACUGAGGCACGAAAGCGUGGGUAGCAAACAGGAUUAGAUACCCUGGUAGUCCACGCUGU